rnacentral:rRNA from 1 species
UACGGAGGGUGCGAGCGUUGUCCGGAAUCAUUGGGCGUAAAGGGCGCGUAGGUGGCGGGACAAGCGUGCGGUGAAAGCCUGGGGCUCAACCCCGGGUCGGCCGUGCGAACUGUUUUGCUUGAGCACUGUAGAGGCAGGCGGAAUUCCGGGUGUAGCGGUGGAAUGCGUAGAGAUCCGGAAGAACACCGGUGGCGAAGGCGGCGCUCUGGACCGAGACUGACGCUGAGGCGCGAAGGCGUGGGGAGCAAACAGG